CCCAAAAGAACUGAUUAUUUCUCGUGACGAUAAUUUGUUUUAAAGGUUCUUUCGCUCUUAUUUGGUUAAGCAAACUGCUUAUAAUCGCACGUGCACACGCACAUAUUCUUUAUCUCCCUCUUUCUGUGACAAGACAUUUAAGAACUGCAGAUUUGCGACACCAAAGGGACUUGGAAAGACGAUUGAAGCUCUCGUGCUAAGGAAAGUACGAAAGUUAAACCUUAAAGUUACGGAUGCCUCACAAUCCAAGGGAAGUAAUUACUAUCGUGUUCUUGAAAUAGUUUACAGGAAACGUCUCCCAUUUCUGCUCACAAAAUUAUUUCAUUUGUAGGGGAAUAUUUCAAGAUGGUGGACAAUGGGACUCAAAUGUGAACAAUUUCGAUGUGUCUAAUAUAUAUCCAAUAAAUAUAUAGACCUAUAACUUCUGUUGGCUGUAGCUUUGACAAGACUGCCGCCAAAGUGCAAAUGGAAACCUUAUUGAUCUUAGUCUGUCAACAAAUUAUUGAAACAAAGUUUCUAUUCAAAAAUUCUAAAGAGUCUCAGCAAAGCACUUUCUAAAUGGUUUACUGGCUUAGAUAAGCUUUAACAUUAAUAGUUAAACAGCCCAGCAUUAAAGAAAUAAAAAGUCUGUAAAUAUGAAUAAUUUUCUUCAAUAGCCAUUUCAUUGGCAUAUAUGAAAA